AGAGUUUGAUCCUGGCUCAGGACGAACGCUGGCGGCGUGCUUAACACAUGCAAGUCGAGCGGAAAGGCCCUUCGGGGUACUCGAGCGGCGAACGGGUGAGUAACACGUGAGCAACCUGCCUUGGCUCUGGGAUAGCUCCGGGAAACGGGAUUAAUACCAGGUAGGACCCUCCCUUGCAUGGGGGAGGGUGGAAAGUUUUU
rnacentral:rRNA from 1 species